CGAGGACGAACGCUGGCGGCGUGCUUAACACAUGCAAGUCGAACGAUGAUGCUGGAGCUUGCUCCAGUUGAUUAGUGGCGAACGGGUGAGUAACACGUGAGCAAUCUGCCCUUGACUCUGGGAUAACUGCGGGAAACUGUAGCUAAUACCGGAUACGAGGCUCGAAGGCAUCUUCGGGUCUGGAAAGAAUUUCGGUCAAGGAUGAGCUCGCGGCCUAUCAGCUUGUUGGUGAGGUAAUGGCUCACCAAGGCGACGACGGGUAGCCGGCCUGAGAGGGUGACCGGCCACACUGGGACUGAGACACGGCCCAGACUCCUACGGGAGGCAGCAGUGGGGAAUAUUGCACAAUGGGCGCAAGCCUGAUGCAGCAACGCCGCGUGAGGGAUGAAGGCCUUCGGGUUGUAAACCUCUUUUAGCAGGGAAGAAGCGAAAGUGACGGUACCUGCAGAAAAAGCACCGGCUAACUACGUG
rnacentral:rRNA from 1 species